rnacentral:piRNA from 1 species
GGAGUUCAAGGAUAAACUAGAAAUG